GUGCCAGCAGCCGCGGUAAUUCCAGCUCCAAUAGCGUAUAUUAAAGUUGUUGUGGUUAAAAAGCUCGUAGUUGAACCUUGGGCCUGGCUGGCCGGUCCGCCUCACCGCGUGCACUGGUCCGGCCGGGCCUUUCCCUCUGUGGAACCCCAUACCCUUCACUGGGCGUGGCGGGGAAACAGGACAUUUACUUUGAAAAAAUUAGAGUGCUCCAGGCAGGCCUAUGCUCGAAUACAUUAGCAUGGAAUAAUAAAAUAGGACGCGCGGUUCUAUUUUGUUGGUUUAUAGGACCGCCGUAAUGAUUAAUAGGGACAGUCGGGGGCAUCAGUAUUCAACUGUCAGAGGUGAAAUUCUUGGAUCAGUUGAAGACUAACUACUGCGAAAGCAUUUGCCAAGGAUGUUUUCAUUAAUCAGGAACGAAAGUUAGGGGAUCGAAGACGAUCAGAUACCGUCGUAGUCUUAACCAUAAACUAUGCCGACUAGGGAUCGGACGUGUUAUUCAUGACCCGUUCGGCACCUUACGAGAAAUCAAAGUGCUUGGGCUCCAGGGGGAGUAUGGUCGCAAGGCUGAAACUUAAAGAAAUUGACGGAAGGGCACCACCAGGGGUGGAGCCUGCGGCUUAAUUUGACUCAACACGGGGAAACUCACCAGGUCCAGACACAAUAAGGAUUGACAGAUUGAGAGCUCUUUCUUGAUUUUGUGGGUGGUGAUGCAUGACCGUUCUUAGUUGGUGGGGUGACUUGUCUGCUUAAUUGCGAUAACGAACGAGACCUUAACCUGCUAAAUAGCCCGCAUUGCUCCGGCAGU
rnacentral:rRNA from 1 species